UACGAAGGGGGCUAGCGUUGCUCGGAAUCACUGGGCGUAAAGCGCACGUAGGCGGAUCGAUCAGUCAGGGGUGAAAUCCCAGGGCUCAACCCUGGAACUGCCUUUGAUACUGUCGAUCUGGAGUAUGGAAGAGGUGAGUGGAAUUCCGAGUGUAGAGGUGAAAUUCGUAGGUAUUCGGAGGAACACCAGUGGCGAAGGCGGCUCACUGGUCCAUUACUGACGCUGAGGUGCGAAAGCGUGGGGAGCAAACAGG
rnacentral:rRNA from 1 species